UUCACUAACAUUUUCUGUUUUGUUUCAGUCUCUGGAGGUGAAGCUGGAGAUGAUGUGGACGGUUUGACCUACGCAGUCGUCUUCACAAAGAAGAGACGAGACAAAGACGCUGCUGAUGCAGGAGAUAAUUUGAGUCGCGAGUCAAACCACAGCAGAAAACCAGCGACAGAAGAAGAUGCAGACCAGUCCUCACUUCAACCCGUUUACUCCACUUUGAAAGAGACACGACGGCCUG